AAGUCGUAACAAGGUCUCCGUAGGUGAACCUGCGGAGGGAUCAUUACCGAGUGAGGGCGCCCCGCGCGUCCGACCUCCCAACCCUUUGAUUUGAUCAAGACCUCCUUCUGCCUCGGGGGCGACCCGGCCCUCGGUCGGGUCCCCCCGGUGGUCACACCAACAACCCUGCAUCAAUUGUCGUCCGAGCAAUUUGAAAUUCAAUCAAAA
rnacentral:misc_RNA from 1 species